GAUGAACGCUGGCGGCGUGCUUAACACAUGCAAGUCGUGCGCGAAGGUGGCUUCGGCCACCGGAGAGCGGCGAACGGGUGAGUAACACGUGGGUGAUCUGCCUGGGAGUGGGGGAUAACCUGGGGAAACUCGGGCUAAUACCGCAUACGUUGUCGAGGUUGCGACCUGGACAAGAAAGCUGGCCUCUAUUUAUAAGCUAGCACUCCCAGAGGAGCCCGCGGCUGAUUAGCUAGUUGGUGGGGUAAUGGCCCACCAAGGCGACGAUCAGUAGCCGGCCUGAGAGGGUGAUCGGCCACACUGGGGACUGAGACACGGCCCAGACUCCUACGGGAGGCAGCAGUGGGGAAUAUUGGACAAUGGGCGCAAGCCUGAUCCAGCAACGCCGCGUGGAGGACGAAGGUCUUCGGAUCGUAAACUCCUGUCAGGCGGGACGAAGGCUGCAGGGCAAAUAGUCCUGUAGCUUGACGGUACUGCCAGAGGAAGCCCCGGCUAACUCCGUGCCAGCAGCCGCGGUAAUACGGAGGGGGCGAGCGUUAUUCGGAAUUAUUGGGCGUAAAGGGCGCGUAGGCGGCCCGGUAAGUCAAAGGUGAAAUCCCGUCGGCUCAACUGAGGAACUGCCUUUGAAACUGUCGGGCUUGAGGCCGGGAGGGGUAGCGGAAUUCCCAGUGUAGCGGUGAAAUGCGUAGAUAUUGGGAGGAACACCGGUGGCGAAGGCGGCUACCUGGACCGGUUCUGACGCUGAUGCGCGAAA
rnacentral:rRNA from 1 species